rnacentral:rRNA from 1 species
GGAGCUUGCUCCUGGAUUCAGCGGCGGACGGGUGAGUAAUGCCUAGGAAUCUGCCUGGUAGUGGGGGAUAACGUCCGGAAACGGGCGCUAAUACCGCAUACGUCCUGAGGGAGAAAGUGGGGGAUCUUCGGACCUCACGCUAUCAGAUGAGCCUAGGUCGGAUUAGCUAGUUGGUGGGGUAAAGGCCUACCAAGGCGACGAUCCGUAACUGGUCUGAGAGGAUGAUCAGUCACACUGGAACUGAGACACGGUCCAGACUCCUACGGGAGGCAGCAGUGGGGAAUAUUGGACAAUGGGCGAAAGCCUGAUCCAGCCAUGCCGCGUGUGUGAAGAAGGUCUUCGGAUUGUAAAGCACUUUAAGUUGGGAGGAAGGGCAGUAAGUUAAUACCUUGCUGUUUUGACGUUACCAACAUAAUAAGCACCGGCUAACUUCGUGCCAGCAGCCGCGGUAAUACGAAGGGUGCAAGCGUUAAUCGGAAUUACUGGGCGUAAAGCGCGCGUAGGUGGUUCAGCAAGUUGGAUGUGAAAUCCCCGGGCUCAACCUGGGAACUGCAUCCAAAACUACUGAGCUAGAGUACGGUAGAGGGUGGUGGAAUUUCCUGUGUAGCGGUGAAAUGCGUAGAUAUAGGAAGGAACACCAGUGGCGAAGGCGACCACCUGGACUGAUACUGACACUGAGGUGCGAAAGCGUGGGGGAGCAAACAGGAUUAAUACCCUGGU